rnacentral:lncRNA from 1 species
GGAAGUCAGGGCAGGGCUGAAGGGUGAGGACUUUGAAUGAUGCACCAAUGUCCUUAGAUUUUAUCCUGUGGGCAUUGGGAGCCAUGGAAGGAUUCUGAGCAAAGAAGAGGCAGGACGAGGGCUGUGUGCUGCACUGUGAACCUGGGAGCUGAGUUCUAGAGUAAAUCUGACAGCAAGGCAGCCCUGGCACCUCCCUGGUCCUGGUCACUUCACCCUGUAGGCUCCUAGGAAGGGUCCCACAGAUGUGGUGGGUGAGGGGAGCCACUGGGAUUUUCAGCAGGGGAGAGAAUUAGCCAGAUCUGCUCUUUAGAAAGGCUCCUCAGGCAGUAACGCAACAGAAACAUAGAGGACAUCAAGAUUGGGGACGGAGAGAUCAUAGGGGCAGGGCGGGGGUGGCAAUGAUCCUGGCAUGAAGUUAUGUGGGCUUGAACUUGGUGCCCAUGGGGUAGGGAGGAAAUUGCCAAGAGAGAUUAAGAGAUAAAAUGGAAAAGACUCAGGAGGCUGAGUAGUAUAAUGGAAAAAAAUUCAAUUACAAGAGUAAUACGUGAAGAUGUAGUUAUAAGAAAUGAUGCCCAUGCACAGGAAACAAAGACUUGGGAAGAAGACAUUCUUGGAUUUGAACUCAGGUGAGCAAGUUCCCCUCCCUGAGCGGCAGGUGCAGCAUCUGUGAGCUGAAGGUGCCUAUGCCCAUGGUAUUGCUGGGAGGAAUAGAUGCGAAACGCAGAAUUCAUCACGUUUUCCCCUCUCUCAUCUCUUCAGGAUGAAAGGGCUGACCCAGAAAGACAUUCCCCAAGCUGUCUUUCAGCUCUGUUGUUCUGUAGUUUUUAUCCUCCUACAAACCAGGAGCUGAGAGCACCAAGCCCUGUGUUUGAAGAAGAGUACUUUCCAGACAUGAGGAAGCCCCUGAAGGAUCUUGGGCAAGAGAGUGACGUGAUCAAUCAUAGCUUUUAGAAGAGGGGCGGCCUGGAGGGAUGGGCUCUGCUGUGGAGAGGAGGGCAUGCUCCAUGUGCACGAGGUGGUUGAAGCCACGAGAGUGAAUGAGACCACCCAGGAGGGGACAGGGUGUGAAGCGAAGAGGGAGCCUGAGGGGACAGCAGCCUGGAGCGGGUGAGGAAGAGGAGUGGUAAAGGAGGGGGGCUUCUCUGUGACCCCCAACCCUGGUGCAGCUGGCCUCAGCCUGAUGUCCAUGCCCUCCCUCUCCCUUCC